rnacentral:rRNA from 1 species
GAUGAACGCUGGCGGCGUGCCUAAUACAUGCAAGUCGAGCGAACAGACGAGGAGCUUGCUCCUUUGACGUUAGCGGCGGAGGGGUGUGUAACACGUGGAUAACCCACUUAUCAGUCUGGGAUAACUUCGGGAAACCGGCGCUUAUACCGGAUAACAUGCUGCUCCGUAUGGUUCAACAGUGAAAGACGGUCUUGGUGUCUCUUCUCGAGGCAUCUGGGCCGGAUUAGCUAGUUGGUACGGUCACGGCUUACCAAGGCAACGAGGCGUAUCCGAGCGGAGAGGGGGGUCGGCCACACGAGAACUGAGACACGGUCCAGGCUCCUGCGAGAGGCAGCAGUAGGGAAUCUGCCGCAAUAGGCGGAAGUCUGACGGAGCGGCGCCACGUGUGAGGAGAAAGUGUUCGGAUCGUAAAACCCUGUUAUGGGUUAAGAACAAAUGUGUAAUGAAAUGUACACGUCGUGACGGUACCUGGUCAGAAAGCCACGGCUAACUACGUG